rnacentral:ncRNA from 1 species
GUGAAGUUUUAUUCUUGCUUUUUCAUUCAGUAUUUAUUUGUUCUAUAUGUAAGUUUGUGCGUGUUUUACCAUGGCUCUAGAUGGGUUGAUGGAGUAUGGGGUUAGUAAUUCUCAUUAGUUAUUAUUGGUUGUUCAAGUAUCCUUGUAUUUAGCAAUAUUUUUUAGUCUCGGUUAAAUUUUGUGCCAGCAGCCGCGGUUAUACCUUGGAGGUGUUUGAAUGUGUUUGGCAUCAGGUAGUUAUAUUGUUUAGUUUAAAUUGAUUAUAUUUUGUUUGUUGUUAGGUGAAAUUUUUAUUAUUUUUAAUUUUCUUGUUUUAUAUUUGGAAGCUAUGAAAUUCUUUUUGUAGACUAGGAUUAGAUACCCUAUUAUUUUAGAGUGUUAAUUGUUUGUUGUGCCUGAGUAGUAUUAGUUAUGUUCUUGAAACUUAAAGAAUUUGGCGGUAUCUCAUUCCGUCCAGAGGAAUCUGUCUCGUUAUCGAUAGUCCACGUUGGACCUUACUUAGUUUCUUUGGUUUGUAUACCGCCGUUUAUUGAUUAUCCUUUUAGGGUUUGCUUAAUUUUCUAGUUCCUUUAUUUUGGUUUAUUUCAGGUCAAGGUGCAGCUUGUUUCUAAGUGAAUGAUGGAUUACAUUGCUAUUUGUUUUAUGGAUUAUUGGUUUUAAUAUUGGUAUGAAAUUGGAUUUGGUUGUAAUUAUUUGUAGAUUGUUAUUGUGAUAAAUGGUUCUGGGAUAUGUACACAUCGCCCGUCGCUCUCGUUUUAUUGUUAAUGAGAUAAGUCGUAACAAAGUGGUUGUACCGGAAGGUGCGGCUGGAUUGUA